rnacentral:rRNA from 1 species
CCUACGGGUGGCAGCAGUGCGGAAUAUUGGUCAAUGGACGAAAGUCUGAACCAGCCAAGUAGCGUGAAGGAUGACUGCCCUAUGGGUUGUAAACUUCUUUUAUAUGGAAGUAAAAUGUUCCUCGUGUGGGGUUUUGUAUGUACCGUAUGAAUAAGGAUCGGCUAACUCCGUGCCAGCCGCCGAGGUAAUACGUAGGAUCCGAGCGUUAUCCGGAUUGAUUGGUGUUAAAGGGAGAGUAGGUGGUUCGUUAAAUCAGGUGUGAAAUUUUUCGGCUCAAACGGAGAAUUGCAGUUGAAACUGGAAGUCUUGAGUACACAAGAGGAGGGCGGAAUUCGAGGUGUAGCGGUGAAAUGCAUAGAUAUCACGAAGAACUCCGAGUGCGAAGGUAGCUCACUGGUCUGCAACUGACGCUGAGGCUCGAAAGUGUGGGUAUCAAACAGGAUUAGAUACCCUAGUAGUC